UAAGAAAAGCCUCUAAGCUUCAGUCUAACAAGACCGUACCGCAAACCGACACAGGUGGGCGAGAUGAGUAUUCUAAGGCGCUUGAGAGAACUCGGGAGAAGGAACUCGGCAAAUUGGUACCGUAACUUCGGGAUAAGGUACGCCCUUGUAGCUUGACUGGCCUGCGCCAGGAGGGUGAGAGGGUUGCAAUAAACUGGUGGCUGCGACUGUUUAAUAAAAACACAGCACUCUGCAAACACGAAAGUGGACGUAUAGGGUGUGACGCCUGCCCGGUGCCGGAAGAUUAAAUGAUGGGGUGCAAGCUCUUGAUUGAAGUCCCGGUAAACGGCGGCCGUAACAAUAACGGUCCUAAGGUAGCGAAAUUCCUUGUCGGGUAAGUUCCGACCUGCACGAAUGGCGUAACGAUGGCCACACUGUCUCCUCCCGAGACUCAGCGAAGUUGAAGUGUUUGUGAUGAUGCAAUCUCCCCGCGGCUAGACGGAAAGACCCCAUGAACCUUUACUGUAGCUUUGCAUUGGACUUUGAACCGAUCUGUGUAGGAUAGGUGGGAGGCUAUGAAACCGGAACGCUAGUUUCGGUGGAGCCGUCCUUGAAAUACCACCCUGGUUUGUUUGAGGUUCUAACCUUGGUCCGUUAUCCGGACUGGGGACAGUGCAUGGUAGGCAGUUUGACUGGGGCGGUCUCCUCCCAAAGUGUAACGGAGGAGUACGAAGGUACGCUAGGUACGGUCGGAAAUCGUGCUGAUAGUGCAAUGGCAUAAGCGUGCUUAACUGCGAGACCGACAAGUCGAGCAGGUGCGAAAGCAGGUCAUAGUGAUCCGGUGGUUCUGUAUGGAAGGGCCAUCGCUCAACGGAUAAAAGGUACUCUGGGGAUAACAGGCUGAUACCGCCCAAGAGUUCAUAUCGACGGCGGUGCUUGGCACCUCGAUGUCGGCUCAUCUCAUCCUGGGGCUGUAGCCGGUCCCAAGGGUAUGGCUGUUCGCCAUUUAAAGAGGUACGUGAGCUGGGUUUAAAACGUCGUGAGACAGUUUGGUCCCUAUCUGCCGUGGGCGUUGGAUAUUUGAAGGGGGCUGCUCCUAGUACGAGAGGACCGGAGUGGACGAACCUCUGGUGUACCGGUUGUCACGCCAGUGGCAUCGCCGGGUAGCUAUGUUCGGAAGAGAUAACCGCUGAAAGCAUCUAAGCGGGAAACUCGCCUUAAGAUGAGAUAUCCCCGGGGACUUGAUCCCCUUGAAGGGUCGUUCUAGACCAGGACGUUGAUAGGUCAGGUGUGGAAGUGAAG
rnacentral:rRNA from 1 species